CGUGUGACCUGUGCUGAACGCGCUGGACCCAUCGUAGCGUGACCUCGGCUCGGAUACUCUGUGACUGCCACACCCCUCGUGCCGGUGUGUGCGUGCUUAAGCACCAGCAUCAUCGUCACGUCGAGUCAUGCCAACUUUCUUCGAAAAACCCAAAUGGAAGUCUUUAACUUCUCGAUUAAAAAUGUCCUCGUGAUGUUUUCAUGAGCGAAUUCGUCAUGCCUGGUUGCGGCCGGACCGGCCUGGGAGCAGCAGCAGCAAGUGGCUGGACAACCGAUUGCCUACAUCAUUGCCUGGGCGUUCCACGGCGAUGGUGUCAUCCGCUGGCUGGCUGGCUACUAUACAGACGGCACACUGUUGAGCUCAUGUGUUGAUAAACACAACCCCAGGCCCGGCAAACGUCCCUUCGCGUCGCGUCGCCUCUUGUGCAUCGUGGAUCGUCAAACACCCGCAUACACACACAAACACACACACACAGGCUAGCACAAGCACCAAUGAUGCAUAGGCGAGUGAGCGAGGCCGAGCGAACGAACGCGCAGGCCUGCGAUUCGGCUCUGUGCAGCACGCGGCGCGGGAAGUUCGACACGAGAACAACGCCGACGUCGCUCGGUGGAUAGCAGUGCGCGGCGCCAUUCAAGUUUGUUCACUCGAGCCGUGCAGAAGUCAGUCGUGCGAGCCGUCGUGCCCUACCCACGUCCCACUUCCGGUGCAGUGUGUGCAGUAUCUCUAGUGCGUGCGCGCGUGUGUGUGUCGCAAUAUACAACCCUCGGCAGGCGCCACGAUCAAGAUCAACAGCCGGACGGACUGGUGCGACUGUGCGACUCUGUUUGUCCGACCCAUCUGCCCAGUCAUCGCCCAACAGCGAUUGAGUGCAGAGUCUGCCUCCAGAGUGGCUCUGGAGUGGUUGUGUUUCUGAUCAAAUGAGUAACGUGUAUCGGUAUCUGUCCGUCGGUGGUCCGGGCACAAUCGGCCAUCCGCUACCGGCAGUACCGGGCGAAAAAGUGUUCCAAAAAGAUGCGGUCCCCUACACCCCCGCCGCGCUGCCGAUGGACGAUCAACCGCUGCUGGAACCGGAGCCCAUCCCCGGAGUAGCUUGGUUCCAGUUCCGGGGUAACCGCCAAGCAUGGCGCAACGGUCUGCGGCUAAUGCAGCUGGUGCACAUCGUGGUAUCGCUGGCGUUCAGCCGGCCACAGCGCUACGAGGUGGGCCAAUGGGUGUCGCUGCUCGUCCUGUGCCAUGCGUUCGUCCUGUCCGUCCUGUUGCUGGUCGAUCAGCGCACCGGUGGACGCUUCGUGCGCCGGCACCUGCCCCGUCUGGACUGGUCGUCGAUCGAACUGCGGUAUACGGCCGGCGUGACGGUGCUCCUGUACGCGCUCUCCUACGCGCUCACGUUCGCCGACAAGGGCUAUCGUGCCGACGUCUGGUGUAAUUGGGUUUCGUUCGUCUUCACACUCAAGACGGCCCUGCUGUACGGUGCCGACACCUGGCUCCAGCUGCUGACCAUCUACGGUCCCGAGCACUAACCGCAGCGUAGCGCCACCAUCGCCGCGCGCCUAUUGCUUUUAUGGCUUGCUAUAAAAUCCAAACCAUGAAAAAAGCUCGCACCGGUGCGCACGUGUCCCGGAUAAACGGUUGCGCGCUUGUUUUCAUUUGAUUGGCCCUCUCUCCCCGGUCACCGGUAACGAUUGCUCUGUACUGUUUUUUGAUUGUGUGACGCAAAAUGACGCGGCAACCUGCGCGGAAAAGUUCGUUUCCAGCAAAAUAAAGAUGGAAGUGGUUAUGGCACAAGCAAAACAAAACCAAAAACUAGUCGCCUCAAUCUAGUGGAAGGUCGAUCCAUCUUUGUAACACACAGACACACAGGACGAAUGAGUGUUUGCUGUUGUUGUUUCGCUUUCCGAUGAGGGCGGGAUCUCCGCCAGGUGAGGGCGUAGGAACGAGACGUAGGCGGACGGCCAGACUAGACGGCGCCGCGCGACGCUAAACACGCUCAUGCUUGCUUCCCAAAAACAACAAAAAAAACUUCAUCAUCCAUAGUUUCGUUGUUCGUUGUGCUUGUGGCGCUGUGUGUGACCUGUGCUGAACGCGCUGGACCCAUCGUAGCGUGACCUCGGCUCGGAUACUCUGUGACUGCCACACCCCUCGUGCCGGUGUGUGCGUGCUUAAGCACCAGCAUUAUCGUCACGUCGAGUCAUGCCAACUUUCUUCGAAAAACCCAAAUGGAAGUCUUUAACUUCUCGAUUAAAAAUGUCCUCGUGAUGUUUUCAUGAGCGAAUUCGUCAUGCCUGGUUGCGGCCGGAGCAGCAGCAAGUGGCUGGACAACCGAUUGCCUACAUCAUUGCCUGGGCGUUCCACGGCGAUGGUGUCAUCCGCUGGCUGGCUGGCUACUAUACAGACGGCACACUGUUGAGCUCAUGUGUUGAUAAACACAACCCCAGGCCCGGCAAACGUCCCUUCGCGUCGCGUCGCCUCUUGUGCAUCGUCGAUCGUCAAACACCCGCAUACACACACAAACACACACACACAGGCUAGCACAAGCACCAAUGAUGCAUAGGCGAGUGAGCGAGGCCGAGCGAACGAACGCGCAGGCCUGCGAUUCGGCUCUGUGCAGCACGCGGCGCGGGAAGUUCGACACGAGAACAACGCCGACGUCGCUCGGUGGAUAGCAGUGCGCGGCGCCAUUCAAGUUUGUUCACUCGAGCCGUGCAGAAGUCAGUCGUGCGAGCCGUCGUGCCCUACCCACGUCCCACUUCCGGUGCAGUGUGUGCAGUAUCUCUAGUGCGUGCGCGCGUGUGUGUGUCGCAAUAUACAACCCUCGGCAGGCGCCACGAUCAAGAUCAACAGAAGUGCGUUUGCUGUAUACCGUGUUGCCAUAAAGUCCUCCGGGUGCCAUAAAAAGCUUGUUUACCCCGCUCGCCCGAUUCUCACGCGCGCGCUCCCUCUACCGGCCAAAAACAGGGGAAGAAGAAAACAAAAGACGAAACCGAAA